rnacentral:lncRNA from 1 species
UAAAGUUCUAAAUUUAAGUAAGUUCAAAAUUUGAGUAAGUUCAAAAUUUGAGUAAGUUCAAAAUUUAAUUAAGUUCAAAAUUUAAGUAAGUUCAAAAUAUAAGAAAAUUCAAAAUAUAAGAAAGUUCAAAAAUAAAAUAAUUUCAAAAUUUAAGUAAGUUCGAAAUUUAAGUAAGUACGAAAUUUAAGUACGAAAUUUAGGUUCGCUAAUACUAUAAUAUGCAUUAUAUUUUUUCUAUUUUUUUAAAAAUAAUGCUUAGUUUAUAGUAAAAAUAAUUUUUUUAAAUAUUUACAAAAAAAACAACUUCCAUAGUAGAAACAUGUUUCUAGUCACUUUUCUAAUGAUAUAAAAAAUAUUUUUUUUCUACGUUAAUACAUUUAUUAUAUAGCAUUUUUUUUUUUUGUUGUUCUAAAUUAUUCAUUUAUUUGUUUUUUUAUCAUGAAGUAUUAUUUUUUAUACGCAUUGUUUUAUUAAGCACCUUUUUUUUAUUGUUUAGAUUGUGAGUACUUUUUUUUUUUUUUAUGAUAACUUUUUAUUUCAUUAUUUCAAAAUUUAAAAAUAUAAUUGUUUUAUUGUUUAAUGAUAAAAAGAAUUUAAUUAUAUUACUAUAAAAUAUAUAUUACUAAAAAUAUUCAAGUUAAAAAUAUAAAUAAAAAAAAAAUUAAAUAAUAUAGAAUAAUAUAUAAUUAUAUAAAAAAGAAAAUCUAUUUGUAACAUAUAAAAGACUAAUGAAAAAUAUGCAGUAAUAUCAUUAUUACUUAGUAAUUGCUAAUAAAAAAAAUGUUUACAACAAUUUAUAAAAUAAUUCUUGUUUUAUUUUUUGUAUGGGCAUGGACCAAUAAUAGUAAAGAUCACUUAGAAAAUAUAUUUAGCACACAGUAUGGUAGAUCACUGGCUGAACCUGAUAUUUUACAUAACGAGGAGAAUGCUCAAUCUAAUGUAGUAGAUUAUAACCAAAGUUCUGAAUAUAUUAAAAAUGAAGAAAAUUCUACAAAUAAAAGCGAUGAAGAAACCUUGCAAAUUGAUAAAUAUAACGAUAAAAAUUCAAUGUAUUUAUCCAAUAUGAAGCAAGAAUUAAUUAAAUUAUUAUCGGACCAAAAUGAUUCCAAAAUAACAAAUAUAUUGCAAAAUAAUUCAAACAUACAAAAAACAGAUUUACUACAUAUAUAUGAUCUUAUUAAACAUUUUAUUUCUGGUGAGAAAUAUUUACAAAUUAUAAAUAAAAGUUGUGAAUUAGCAACUAAAAAACAAUUUAAUCGUAAUACAAAUGCUGAAAAAUAUUACAACUCACUAUUAUACUUAUUGAAUACAUAUUUCUAUCUUGCUGAGAAUGAAAUAAAUUUUAAAAGACUGUCUAUGAAAUUACGUAAUGAUGGUUAUGAACGACCCAAAUUUAAAUCAAGUAAUUAUUUUAAUAUAUCUAAACUUUACAAAAGAAUAAAUAAACAAUUUAAAAUUAUGUUACUUAAACAAAUGAUAAAACAGGAAUUAGAUCCAACUGUUCAAUUGACUUAUAAAAAACGUUUUGAGCUACUUAGUUAUGGAUUUUUUUACCCACUAUCACUAUUUGUAAUUUCAAUUUUUACCUUACCAGUCUGGUCAAUUGGUCUUACGUUUACACUAAUAGGGAUGCUUCUUUACAUAUGUGUACAUUCUAAUUAUAAAAUAAUCAGAGAUGUACAUUUUGUAAAGCAAAUUAUGAAAAAAUCAAAACUAUUAGAUCAAAAAUAUUUGAAUUAAUUUGUACCUCAAAUUAUAACACAAAAAAAUAGUUACAAAAAAAAACAAACAUUAUUGUUUUUCAUUUGAAUAUGUUGUUUUUUUUAUAUUUAUUUAUUCAUUUAUUUAUUUAUCUUUUUUUUUUUUUAUGUCCCAUUUAGUAAUAAACACAACA